GUUUGGCAUGUCUGGUUUAUACUGCUCUAUGUACAAUACACCGAAAUACCCUGAUCCUGUGAUGUGAUGGGGCUCCCUGUGGACACUGCUGCCAGCCUACAUGCAUCAAAUUGCAGGAUUGGGCCAUAGAUGGGAUUAGUAAUUCACAACCUCUAGAUCUUGUGUGGAAACUAGGAUAGCAGCAAACUCCAGGAUGCACCUAAAAAGUGUACUGACCUGCCUUGCUUGUAAACUUUACAUAUGUAACAGUGGUGACAUCUAGUGGUCAGCUUUUGACCAUGGUCAACAUCACAUUAUCUUAAUUCCUCUGUCCCAUGGCAGAUGCUAGAAUAGUAGUUGAUUGUUUAUAAUGUAGCUAGUAGUCACUGCAUGAUAGGAUGUAAUGAACAAUAUUGUUUGGA